UUUCCUUCGGGGAGCGAGUAGAGUGGCGCACGGGUGAGUAACACGUAGGUAAUCUACCUUUGGAUGGGGAAUAACAACCGGAAACGGUUGCUAAUACCGCAUAAUGCAGCGGCACCUAAUGGUGACAGUUGUUAAAGCGGGGGAUCGUAAGACCUCGCGUCUGAAGAGGAGCCUGCGGCGGAUUAGCUAGUUGGUAAGGUAAUGGCUUACCAAGGCGAUGAUCCGUAACCGGCCUGAGAGGGCGGUCGGUCACACUGACACUGACAUACGGGUCAGACUCCUACGGGAGGCAGCAGUCGGGAAUUUUGGGCAAUGGGCGAAAGCCUGACCCAGCAACGCCGCGUGAAGGAUGAAAUCCCUCGGGAUGUAAACUUCGCAAGAACAGGAAGAAUAAGUAGGGGACAAUACCCCCUAUGAUGACGGUACUGUUUGUAAGCUCCGGCUAACUCCGUGCCAGCAGCCGCGGUAAUACGGGGGGAGCAAGCGUUGUUCGGAUUUACUGGGCGUAAAGGGCGCGUAGGCGGCCACCGCAAGUCAGUUGUGAAAUCUCUGGGCUUAACCCAGAAAGGUCAACUGAUACUGCGGGGCUAGAGUGCAGAAGGGGCAACUGGAAUUCUCGGUGUAGCGGUGAAAUGCGUAGAUAUCGAGAGGAACACCUGCGGCGAAGGCGGGUUGCUGGGCUGACACUGACGCUGAAGCGCGAAAGCUAGGGGAGCGAACGGGAUUAGAUACCCCGGUAGUCCUAGCCUUAAACGAUGAAUGCUUGGUGUCUGGGGUUUUAUAGUCCCCGGGUGCCGUCGCU
rnacentral:rRNA from 1 species